CAAUUAUUUAUAGCCUCUGGCUAUAGGAAAUUGUUAGUGGCAGACGGGUGAGUAAUGCGUAGGAAUCUACCUAGUAGUACGGAAUAGCCAUUAGAAAUGGUGGGUAAUACUGUAUAAUCCCCGAGGGGGAAAGAUUUAUCGCUAUUAGAUGAGCCUACGUUAGAUUAGCUAGUUGGUGAGGUAAUGGCUUACCAAGGCUAUGAUCUAUAGCUGGUCUGAGAGGACGAUCAGCCACACUGGAACUGAGAUACGGUCCAGACUCCUACGGGAGGCAGCAGUGGGGAAUAUUGGACAAUGGGCGAAAGCCUGAUCCAGCUAUGCCGCGUGAGUGAAGAAGGCCUUCGGGUUGUAAAACUCUUUCAAUAGGGAAGAUAAUGACGGUACCUAU
rnacentral:rRNA from 1 species